rnacentral:lncRNA from 1 species
CCAUGCAUGCAUAUGGAAAAUCAUAAUUGGGGACCCGAGACAAAAUCACCACGGCGGGAGGAACUUAUCUGUUGUGGUGUCCGAAGGAAUUUCAAAAAUCUUAGGGACCUAAGACUAGAACGUCGUGGCGGGAGGCAUUGAGCGUCGCGACGCGAUAUUUAAAUUUUGAAAAUUAUUUGUUCUUAUCUCAUUUUGUUCAGAUCUAAAUUAGGUGGGACUCGAGUUUGUGAUACUGAGGUUAUAAAUAGGCGAAAGUAAGGUUUAUUUCAGAGAUCUUAGAGACUUGGAAGAAAGAGGAGCUUAAAGAAAA